ACCCACCGUCACUUUGAGGAUUGGUCGAUCGUGGCUCUGCGGCUGCCCACUCGCCUGCCGGCCGAUGCCCGCCCUGCCGCCUGGUCGCCGGCCGCCGCGGAGCGAGCGCUGGUCUACGUAGGUCCGGUCUGCAGCAGCAGCAACUUCUGCUCAAGUGCCCAUCCCCAAGCUUUAUUAAUCUCUCAAUCUCAUCCCAACUCCCAAACUGCCAUAGGCAAACAGAAACACAGAGUUAGAAAGAAAGGGACGACACCAUCACCACCAACAGAUGUUUUUGAGUUAUAAAGAUUGUGAAGGGUGCUUUGCCUAACAAAAUUGGUGGUGAUUAUUUGAGCCAUAGCCUAAUUUGCUUCAUGGAAAAUGGACUGCUAGACGACAUUGCUUGUAAAGUGAUUCUUGAUCGUUUCCAUAAGAUUAAAGAUCGCCGCGGGAGAAAUGAAUUAACACAAUAUUUAUGGUAGAGAUGAAUUGUCUUUUGCAAAAUAUGAACUGUUUGGAUUUCAAGUCUUUUUGUAAGGGGCGAAGAUGGCGAGGUAUGAGGUGUGUCUUGGACCUGUUGGGGGCGAUGAUCAAGAACUGGAAAGUGUUAUGCUCAGAAGCUUAGGGUGCGCUACUUCUCCGGUGCUUAAGGCUUUUGGACCAUCGAAGAGGGGAAUUGCUUAGAAUUGCGUGGUGAUCUUAGGCUCUUUCUUUAAUUUGGCGUUGCUGGAGAUGUAAUCGCUACUGCUUGUGUUUGAAUAGCCUUGAGCUUGUAAUAGGGUAGUGAACCCUUUCUAUCUGCGGCAGCUACUCUCUGUCGUCGAACGCUGUUUAACAGUCCGUGCCUGGUUGUUUUUGCCUUGGCUUUUAUAAAAAGUUGGGGUGGGGGGAAACCCCUUUUCGUCAA